UACGUAGGGGGCAAGCGUUGUUCGGAUUUACUGGGCGUAAAGGGCGCGUAGGCGGCGUAACAAGUCACUUGUGAAAUCUCCGGGCUUAACCCGGAGCGGCCAAGUGAUACUGUUGUGCUAGAGUGCGGAAGGGGCUACUGGAAUUCUCGGUGUAGCGGUGGAAAUGCGUAGAUAUCGAGAGGAACACCUGCGGCGAAGGCGGGUAGCUGGGCCGACACGUGACGCUGAGG
rnacentral:rRNA from 1 species